rnacentral:rRNA from 1 species
CGCGGCCUAUCAGCUUGUUGGUGGGGUAAUGGCCUACCAAGGCGUCGACGGGUAGCCGGCCUGAGAGGGUGUACGGCCACAUUGGGACUGAGAUACGGCCCAGACUCCUACGGGAGGCAGCAGUGGGGAAUAUUGCACAAUGGGCGCAAGCCUGAUGCAGCGACGCCGCGUGGGGGAUGACGGCCUUCGGGUUGUAAACUCCUUUCGCCCACGACGAAGCCCUUCGGGGUGACGGUAGUGGGAUAAGAAGCACCGGCUAACUACGUGCCAGCAGCCGCGGUAAUACGUAGGGUGCGAGCGUUGUCCGGAAUUACUGGGCGUAAAGAGCUCGUAGGUGGUUUGUCGCGUCGUCUGUGAAAGUCCAGCGCUUAACGCUGGGAUUGCAGGCGAUACGGGCUUACUUGAGUGCUGUAGGGGAGACUGGAAUUCCUGGUGUAGCGGUGAAAUGCGCAGAUAUCAGGAGGAACACCAAUGGCGAAGGCAGGUCUCUGGGCAGUCACUGACACUGAGGAGCGAAAGCAUGGGUAGCCAACAGGAUUAGAUACCCUGGUAGUCCAUGCCGUAAACGGUGGGCGCUAGGUGUGGGGACCUUCCACGGUUCCUGCGCCGUAGCUAACGCAUUAAGCGCCCCGCCUGGGGAGUACGG